rfam:Streptococcus agalactiae NEM316 complete genome, segment 6
AUAUCCUUUAAGGUAUUGUCCAGAGAGGCAAACAAGGAAUUGCGUUAACAAAUAGUAAGUUAGUUCCCUAUCUAGCUUACUAUUUUGCAGAGCCUCCUUGUUUUAGGAGGCUUUUUUCUA